rnacentral:rRNA from 1 species
GCAAGUCGAACGGUUAAGCCCAGCUUGCUGGGUGGAUCAGUGGCGAACGGGUGAGUAACACGUGAGCAAUCUGCCCCUGACUCUGGGAUAAGCGCUGGAAACGGCGUCUAAUACUGGAUAUGAGCUGCGAUCGCAUGGUCAGUAGCUGGAAAGAUUUUUUGGUCAGGGAUGAGCUCGCGGCCUAUCAGCUUGUUGGUGAGGUAAUGGCUCACCAAGGCGUCGACGGGUAGCCGGCCUGAGAGGGUGACCGGCCACACUGGGACUGAGACACGGCCCAGACUCCUACGGGAGGCAGCAGUGGGGAAUAUUGCACAAUGGGCGCAAGCCUGAUGCAGCAACGCCGCGUGAGGGAUGACGGCCUUCGGGUUGUAAACCUCUUUAGCAGGGAAGAAGCGAAAGUGACGGUACCUGCAGAAAAAGCGCCGGCUAACUACGUGCCAGCAGCCGCGGUAAUACGUAGGGCGCAAGCGUUAUCCGGAAUUAUUGGGCGUAAAGAGCUCGCAGGCGGUUUGUCGCGUCUGCUGUGAAAUCCCGAGGCUCAACCUCGGGUCUGCAGUGGGUACGGGCAGACUAGAGUGCGGUAGGGGAGAUUGGAAUUCCUGGUGUAGCGGUGGAAUGCGCAUAUAUCAGGAGGAACACCGAUGGCGAAGGCAGAUCUCUGGGCCGUAACUGACGCUGAGGAGCGAAAGGGUGGGGAGCAAACAGGCUUAGAUACCCUGGUAGUCCACCCCGUAAACGUUGGGAACUAGUUGUGGGGUCCAUUCCGCGGAUUCCGUGACGCAGCUAACGCAUUAAGUUCCCCGCCUGGGGAGUACGGCCGCAAGGC